GACGAACGCUGGCGGCGUGCCUAAUACAUGCCAGUCGAACGCAUUUUCUCUCAACGUAGCUUGCUACACCGAUAGAAAGUGAGUGGCGAACGGGCGAGUAACACGCCUGUAACCUGCUCAUCAGCGGGGGAUAACACUUGUGAACAGGAGCUAAUACCGCAUAAUUCUAUUUACCGCAUGGUAGAUGGAUGAAAGGCGCUUUUGCGUCACUGAUGGAUGGACCCGCGGUGCUUUAGCUAGUUGGUGGGGUAACGGCCUGCCAAGGCUGCGAUGCAUAGCCGGCCUGAGAGGGUGGGCGGCCACACUGGGACGGAGACACGGCCCGGACUCCUACGGGAGGCAGCAGUAGGGGAUCUUCGGCGAUGGACGCGAGUCAGACCGAGCCACGCCGCGUGAGUGAAGAAGGGUGUCGGAUUGUAAAACUCUGUUGUUAGAGAAGAAAAAGGAUGAGAGUGGAAAGUUCAUCCCUUGACGGUAUCUAAACAGAAAGCCACGGCUAACUACGUG
rnacentral:rRNA from 1 species